GGGCUAGCUCAGUCGGUUAGAGCACAAGAUUCUUCAUCUCAGGGUCACGGAUUCGAGUCUCGCGUCGGGCA